rnacentral:rRNA from 1 species
AUUGAACGCUGGCGGCAGGCCUAACACAUGCAAGUCGAGCGAGCGGCGGACGGGUGAGGAAUAUCUGGGAAACUGGCUGAGGGAGGGGGAUAACUACAGGAAACGGUAGCUAAUACAGCAUACCAUCAGAUGUGCCCCGAUGGGAUUAGCGAGUAGGUGGGGUAAAGGCCCACCAAGGCGACGAUCCCUAGCUGGUCUGAGAGGAUGAUCAGCCACACUGGAACGGAGACACGGUCCAGACGCCUACGGGAGGCAGCAGGGGGGAAUAUUGCACAAUGGGCGAAAGCCUGAUGCAGCCAUGCCGCGUGUGUGAAGAAGGCCUUCGGGUUGUAAAGCACUUUCAGCGGGGAGGCGUUACCCGCAGAAGAAGCACCGGCUAACUCCGUGCCAGCAGCCGCGGUAAUUC